rnacentral:misc_RNA from 1 species
AACCUAGCACACCUGCGGUGUGUACCUGCGGAAGGAUCAUUAGCGAAUAAACAAGUGUUGGUUGUGCUGACCAUUCGUGGUAUGUGCACGCUGACCACUGUUUCAUUCAUUUUCCACCUGUGCACUUCAUGUAGUCUAUGCAUUGCUGAUUUCAGGCCUUUAAUAAGCCUGGUUUGAGGAAGUUGCUUGUUUCACAACAGGCUCUUCUUGGGCAUGUAUGGUCUAUGUUUAUUAUCUACA